GGACGUCCAAAUGGCAAGGUCAAUGGCGACUUUUAAUCUAUUGGUCCCGAGUUCGAGUCUCGGACGGCCCACCA
rnacentral:tRNA from 1 species